rnacentral:lncRNA from 1 species
UGGGACCAGUGGUGCUGACUUUGGACACCAGGCCCCAGAACUGGGAAAGAAUAGAUUAGAUUGUUUGAAACCACCAAACUUGUGGCUUAGGAAAUGACUAUCCUCUUUCAUCACUCCCGUUGUUUUUCUCAGGAACAAUGACCAUGCGCCAUUGUAUAGAUGAGGAAGCGCAUGCGCUUGGAGAGGCGGCCCGCUCAGCCCAGGUACAGGCAGAGGCAGAGCCAGGGGACGGACCACAUGCAGCUCAUCCUUCCGGGAGCUUCGCUGGGCAACAAUCAACCUGCUAACACGGGGAUGUCAUUCAAGACCCCCAGGGGCUGCCUGAGACCUCGGACUGCACAAACUCUAUACAACUAUGGUUUUUCCUGUACCGGCAGACCCAUGGUCCCAUCAUCCUUCUGCCAUGUAGAUCUCCAUCAUCCUGCCAUGAAGGUCUCUGUUAUCCUUCUGACUGCCUUGAACAGAUCCUAUGGAAUGAUUCUACCAGCUAUCCAAAGUGUAAUUAUUCUCCUUGAGGUUGAACAACUCAGCUGUUUCCACCCCCUUCCUAUCCCUUACUACCACUCUCAAGACCCUGCAUCAUUAUCUACCCACAGGCUUUUCUUUCUGAGACAAAGUCUUGUUAUAUAGUUCAGGCUGGCCUUAAAAUCACUGUGUAACCCAGACUGGCCUCAAAUCACUGUGAUCGUCCUGCCUCAGCCUCCCAAGUGCUGAGGUUACAGAUGUGUGUGACCAGACCAGCUUCACUC